rnacentral:rRNA from 1 species
UACAGAGGGUGCGAGCGUUGUUCGGAAUUAUUGGGCGUAAAGGGCGCGUAGGCGGUGCGGUAAGUCACCUGUGAAAUCUCUGGGCUCAACUCAGAGCUUGCAGGCGAAACUGCCGUGCUGGAGUGUGGGAGAGGUGCGUGGAAUUCCCGGUGUAGCGGUGAAAUGCGUAGAUAUCAAGAGGAACACCUGAGGUGAAGACGGGUUGCUGGGCUGACACUGACGCUGAGGCGCGAAAGCCAGGGGAGCAAACGGG